rnacentral:rRNA from 1 species
GAUGAACGCUGGCGGCGUGCCUAAUACAUGCAAGUCGAACGAAACUUCUUUAUCACCGAGUGCUUGCACUCACCGAUAAAGAGUUGAGUGGCGAACGGGUGAGUAACACGUGGGCAACCUGCCCAAAAGAGGGGGAUAACACUUGGAAACAGGUGCUAAUACCGCAUAACCAUAGUUACCGCAUGGUAACUAUGUAAAAGGUGGCUAUACUACCGCUUUUGGAUGGGCCCGCGGCGCAUUAGCUAGUUGGUAGGGUAAAGGCUUACCAAGGCAAUGAUGCGUAGCCGAAUUGAGAGGUUGAUCGGCCACAUUGGGACUGAGACACGGCCCAAACUCCUGCGGGAGGCAGCAGUAGGGAAUCUUCCACAAUGGGCGAAAGCCUGAUGGAGCAACGCCGCGUGGGUGAAGAAGGUCUUCGGAUCGUAAAACCCUGUUGUUAGAGAAGAAAGUGCGUGGGAGUAACUGUUCACGUUUCGACGGUAUCUAACCAGAAAGCCACGGCUAACUACGUG